rnacentral:rRNA from 1 species
AUUGAACGCUGGCGGCAGGCCUAACACAUGCAAGUCGAGCGGUAGNGAGGUGCUUGCAUCUCUUGAGAGCGGCGGACGGGUGAGUAAUGCCUAGGAAUCUGCCUGGUAGUGGGGGACAACGUUUCGAAAGGAACGCUAAUACCGCAUACGUCCUACGGGAGAAAGCAGGGGACCUUCGGGCCUUGCGCUAUCAGAUGAGCCUAGGUCGGAUUAGCUAGUAGGUGAGGUAAUGGCUCACCUAGGCGACGAUCCGUAACUGGUCUGAGAGGAUGAUCAGUCACACUGGAACUGAGACACGGUCCAGACUCCUACGGGAGGCAGCAGUGAGGAAUAUUGGACAAUGGGCGCAAGCCUGAUCCAGCAAUGCCGCGUGCAGGAUGAAGGCCUUCGGGUUGUAAACUGCUUUUGUACGGAACGAAACGGUGAGCUCUAAUACAGUUUGCUAAUGACGGUACCGUAAGAAUAAGCACCGGCUAACUACGUG